rnacentral:lncRNA from 1 species
CUUCUGGAUAGCUGCACAGCUGAACAUGAAGGGUGCUACUGUGACUUGGAAAAGUGACUCAAUAGUGCUGCUUGGGGACAGUAGAAUCUUCCAAAGGGGGAACACCUAUGCAACGGCAUGCAUGGGAAGGCCAGACGACCACACGACUUCACAGACCCAGAUCAUGCCGGCUAGGAAGAAAGUGCCGUUCCCGGCUGAGCCAUCUCACUAGCUCCAGAUUUUCCUCUUGCAGAUGUUGAAAUGUUUUGCGAUAGAUUAUUAGAUGUUUGGUAUGCAUUAUCCUGUCUCUAGAAUUUUGUCUUUAAGUUUCCAAAUGCCGAAAAGUGGAAUCAAAAGGAAAGAGCAAACAGCAAAGACCAUUUAAUGAAAACGUCUUAGAGUCUACUCCUAUAGGUUUGGUGUCUUGGGGUAAUUUAUUAACUCUCCUUUGCAUAGGCCAGACUGAUCAUGUCCACUGGCUGCCAGAGCAGAAAAGUGUUUCAGAUGGCAUGAUACCCGUCAUCCUCUGGACUGCCUUACAGGGGCCUCCAUAAACCUUUCUUUCCUUCUGGUAGAGGUGUCAUUCACAAAGGCUGGAAGGAAAUGGAGCUAUGGGGAGGCGGGGAGAGGACACUCCAAG